GGGCUUUACCGCUUCCUCUCCUCCCUCACCCUCCCUUCACCCCAACUCUCUGGGAAAACCAGAUGCCACAUUGGCAGCCCCAAAGACUAGUUGGGAUUAUUGCCACUUUGCAGUCUGAGGAACUAAAAUAGAGAGACAUCAUUAAAGUUACUCUGGUACAUCCAAAGUUCGAGAAAAUGGAAGCUAGAGAACCAAGAUUUUUCCAGCUCCUGCCCUGCUUCACUCUCUCCAGUAAAAUUCAAAUUCACCAGGAUGAGGGAUACAGAAGACAUACACGGUUUAAUUCAUUUAGGAAUUGGGGAAGUUAUAAUGCCCAGCCUGGGCUGUGAUUUGCACGGAGUACAUGCCCAACAAGUGUCCAACUACUACACUCUGCCCUCAGAUCUUCAAAGUGACUGAAUUAGCCUGUUGGGUAACUCCUUGUAAGUCAAACUGCCUUCUCUUUUUGUGAAUAAAUGCGUGUCUUCAAAUCCUUC